UACAGAAACCUAGCAGGAAGAGAGGACAGUUGAGAAGAAUUAGGAUAUGAUACAGUAAAACUAAAAUGUAAAUUACAACUUGACAAUUUUUCAGCUGGUCUGGGAUCCAAAAUUUUCAAUAGACUUCGAUAACUAUACAUGACACACUUUUCCUCUGUCCCAAACCAGCUUGUCCAACAGAUGAACUUCAUAUCCAGGCAUCAGAAGAGAAUCAUGUUAACAUUCUCAGCUUUGUGUGCACUCAAAUGGAUGUAAGCUGCCUUCUGUAAACUCAUGCAUCCUAAAUCGCUCCAAAAACUCAAAAGGCAAGACAGCUUCACGAGUGCGGCACAAUCUGCGUUGAUUGCUUUCCAUUGCAUCCAAGACAUUGGAAGUCUCUGGUCCUGCAGCUCCACCAGCCACAAGAGAAGGGACAGAAGCAGUCGGAGUCCAAAUCUUAAUGGUGUUAUCAAUUCCACUGGUAGCCACAACGCAAUCAUAUGGGUGGCACUGUACACAAUUUACAACAGCUUCAUCUCCAUGAAGCAUUUUUGUCAAUCUACCAGUUCGUUUCUCCCAUAUAAACCAUCUGCCAUCAUCACUUCCACUAGCAAUAUAUUCACCUCGUUCACCAAGAAAGCUCGCCUGUUUAAUGUCAGUGCCUACGUUGCAAUGACCAACAUAUCUUUGCUUCAUAUCUAUCACUGUUUCAGGCUGGUAAGCUGUUUUCUCUUUUUGACAAGAGGCUGGCGAACCACAUGAACCAUUUGCCUGUCCAGUCUCCCCAGUGGAAUCACCUCUCCUGUGGAUUCUCAAGUUCAAACUUCCAUGAAGGACAUUAGGAUCAACAUCUUGUCCUUCAUCACCAGACAUUGAUGUUUCAAAAGCCAACUCUAACUCUUCAUCAUCAUCAGAAUCAUCUCUUUCAGACCUGUGACCAUCUUGCGAUGCAUCACUGUUUGCGUCUGAACGAUACAAUAUGUCACUUAGGGAUAAUACUCUUCCUGCCCGUGGAUCAGACCUUGAUUCUCCACCAUUUGCCCUAUUUGUUUUGUCUGCUUCAGCUGCAGCAAUUUGCUCUUUUAUACUUCCCACCUUUAAUGCAACUUCAGAAUUAGAUGUAGCCAAGGAUUGUGCACCAAUAGCAAACUCCAAAGCUUCUUUGUGUUUACCUAACUGUGAAAGAGCAUCAGCGAUUAAAAUAAGAGGCCUAAAGGAGG
rnacentral:misc_RNA from 1 species